GGGGUCUUCAACUUUAUGAUGUUGUUCCACAGGAGGCUCAUCGCCAUUUGCCCCGCCUUCCCUCUCAUGUUCCUCGUCAACCUUCGUGGGCGGCAUUCCAUUAAUCCGUUUCUGUCCGGGCUCCUUUCUUAACCUCCAGUCACCUCCAUUCCUCUCACAUUCAACUUCAUAUGCCAGUGCCAGAAUCUCCAAAUCUUGUCUACUCAGUACUGGCCUAUCGCCUGUCUUCCGUGCAAAUUCUCCGACGAACCUUACGGACUCCGGUUUGGGAGUACGUUGUGUGAGGAAUGGGAGGUAUAACGUCUCAAGUCUAGAGCGCGCAGCAGGGUCUCGAAUUUCGGAGAUGACAGCAGGAGUGGUGAUGAGGGCGUGAGACUGCGCAAGCAGCGUCGAGAUCGGGGGUACAUUGCGGAUGAGGGGCGCAGCGUCGAGGAUUAUUGUGUGGACGGGUUUGGAAGGGCUAGGUUCCGCCAUGCUUAUAGAUAUUUGAAAUUUCUACACACUUUCCAAAUUUCAUGGGGGGUUAUAUGGCAUCAGUAAAGUAUAUGUGACAAGAAUAUUGUGAUCGCCUGCUGUUGUGCAUUUCAGCGUUGAUAUUGGGGAUAAAUUUUUGUGCCGUGUUGGCAAUUGGUGGAGGUUUUAAGGUUAUUUAAAUCUUAUCUUAGCGCCAUAUUGCCAAGGAUUUUCUUUGUUCUGUGGACGAAGAAACUACAGCAGAUAAUAUUGAAUUGGGU
rnacentral:sRNA from 1 species